CAGACACGAAGAAAAGCACAACUCGUCUUUGUCUGAACAGAGGAAGAUGCGGUUAGAGAAGUUUCUGGGCGUAACCCUCCGUGAAAAAAAAGCUGAUCAGAGUUUGUUCAAUCAACUCUGAGUGAAGCCAUUGACUGUACGUGGUGAAUGAGAGCAGCCAUCAUCAAUGGAGCUCCGAUAGUACGGGUCACCAUGGCAACAGGAAUUAUGUUCCAUCAGUGCGACCAAUCCCAUCAUGAGUGAUCGAGACAAUUAUUCAAUGAUCGUACGUGUCUAAAGCUUCAUACCGAUGUUUUAAAUUUAA